rnacentral:rRNA from 1 species
CGAAUGGAGCAAUCCUAGUAGAGCGGCGCACGGGUGCGUAACACGUGGAUAAUCUGCCUGGGUGUCUGGGAUAACCAGUCGAAAGAUUGGCUAAUACCGGAUAAGCCCCCGGGAGCUUCGGCUCCUGAGGGAAAAGGUGGCCUCUGUAUACAAGCUAUCACAUCCAGAUGAGUCCGCGGCCCAUCAGCUAGUUGGCGGGGUAAUGGCCCACCAAGGCAACGACGGGUAGCUGGUCUGAGAGGACGAUCAGCCACACUGGAACUGAGACACGGUCCAGACUCCUACGGGAGGCAGCAGUGGGGAAUUUUGCGCAAUGGGCGAAAGCCUGACGCAGCAACGCCGCGUGUGUGAUGAAGGUCUUCGGAUUGUAAAGCACUUUCGACCGGGACGAAAACCCGUUGGCUAACAUCCAACGGCUUGACGGUACCGGGAGAAGAAGCACCGGCUAACUCUGUGCCAGCAGCCGCGGUAAUACAGAGGGUGCAAGCGUUGUUCGGAAUUAUUGGGCGUAAAGCGCGUGUAGGCGGCUUUGCAAGUCGGGUGUGAAAGCCCUCAGCUCAACUGAGGAAGUGCGCCCGAAACUGCAGAGCUUGAGUGCCGGAGAGGGUGGCGGAAUUCCCCAAGUAGAGGUGAAAUUCGUAGAUAUGGGGAGGAACACCGGUGGCGAAGGCGGCCACCUGGACGGUAACUGACGCUGAGACGCGAAAGCGUGGGGA